CUGAACUGCAGAGAUAGCAUAUCCUCUGAGGGGUGGAGUCAACUGAAAAAUGACAGAAAUGACAGCAGUCAGUGAAAGAAAUCUGGGACGUCUACACUUCAGGCAUUCAGUAAGAAAGAGGAAACAAACAGCACAGGAAAAUGUUUUCCUUUUACAUCAGUGAUCUUAGCCAGCCUUACUGGCGUUGAUGGAAAUCUGUGCUCCUACUACUCUGUGGUGAUUUAAGACUCGGUGUUCACAUAAGAUAUGAAGAAUUGGUGAUUUUGCCUUUGGUGCUAUUAAACCCUUGAAUGUUGUUCCUGGAUUGAGAGUUUGUAGACACCACAUCAAAAUACUGGUUUAUGUUGGGUGAAGGCUCAGUGAGAAGACCUUCCUGUGCCACAGAGAAGGACAGGACAUUGACAGCUUUGACACAGCCCAGCCUCCUUCCACUUGGAUUCCUCAGCCGAGAACUGUUGUUGAGUGACUAAGAAGGACAUUUCAUGCAAAUCACUGCCCCCUCCUUCACUUUGUCCUGCCACACCUCACCCCACUUUUGCCAAAUCGCUUAUAAGGACCUGAUGGGACCUUGAGUCCGCGUCUUACAUAAGGUUUACUACCUAACAAGCUUCAGGAAUUUCUUGGACAUUGUCAGAUCACUUAUGCCAAGCCUGAGGAAAGACUGUCAAGAAGAUAUUUAUUUUUUGCAUGCUUAAGUAAAGGUAUGCAGGACGGUAAGACUGGAGGGCUAGGCGGAUUAUAAUGGUAUGGUUAGCUUUUUACCUCUGUGUCACAAGUUCAAAUAUAGGUCAAGAGGGAUAUUUCCCAUUCAUUACAGCUGCUCUUCAGGGGCUUUGAAAAGUAGGUUGGUGAUAAUGACUUAGUUCUAGUGGACAGGUAAGUAACUCUUGUACAACACAAGAUUCAAAGACUGAAGCAAACUGGCAGACUAAGGCCACCAGUAAUCAAGAACUGGGGGUUCAGAUUUUUAAAGACAUCUUACUUAUUUUUAACAUGCAAGCAGUAACCUAAGCCCUUCACGUAAAUCUAAGUAGCCAUUUAUCUGAUACAUUGAAUAGGUUUAAAAUUACAGCCUACUGUCCUCAACAAAUUUUCAGUGCAACUUUGCUUCACUACCAUUCAGUGCAGCCUCAAUAAUCCUCUGAUUUCCCCCUUGUUUACACCAGCACAUAUUGUAAAAGAAGAUGGAUGGCACAGUUUAUUAGCUUUCAAGUACAUUGCUGCAAGCAUAGUCUCUUUUCACAGCAAAGUCUUCCACUGCAUCAGUCAUAUCAGAGAUAGCAGGCUAGUACAGAGAUGAAGCAGAUAAUAUAGUUUUAAAGAAGCUCUUUCAUUACAUAAAAUUAAUCUUUAAGUAAUAAAUUGAUCUUCGAUUAAUCAAGUGAAUACUGAUUUUAUGCAGAAAUGUAACACAUGGAAUUUAAUAUUUACAAACAAAGUACUGUCCAUACAUUGCAUUACCUCAUUUAUGCUGUAAAGAAAGUCCUAUUUUCUAAGAAAUACUGUACAUUAUCAAGGAUAACUCAUUUUUGCAAAAGUGAGUCUGGCACGUUGUCACUCUGCAUGAUGAAAAUAAGCGUCACAUGAUGGAAGGGAAGCAUGAAUAUGUGUUAUCUGAUGUAUACAACUGAAAAGGCAAAACAGUGAAAUCAUCAAGCCACAGUAGCCGGAGUGAACCAAUAAGAAAGAGUAUUGUACACUGGAAUUGUAAACAAUCAAACAAAGAUUACACUUUAAUGUGGAACUGUGCAUGAUUUUUAGAUGAAAAGGUAGAUUGUUAUUUUAUGUAGUCUUUCUACACUUUGACUUUUAGGAUUCUAUAACUUAUUGAUUCCAAUGGAAUAUAUAAUUACUAAUAGUGAAAAAAAAGACAUUGGGAAAUCUUCCUCAUUCUCAUCUCAAUGUAUUCUUUUAUUUGCAGUAAUUUUUGAUCAGAUGUUAAAACUCAAAUUUUAGUAGCAGAAAUAAAAAAAAAUCUAGUGCUCUUUAUUGCAGAAAGUGUUCAAGAUGCUGUAUAUGGGUGGGGCUGUAAUAUUUAUGUGCAUCAAAAAUGCUGUUUUGUGUAUCACUUGAGACAGGUCUGCAAACACGCCAUGCACGUGCUUCUCAUAGCCUUUAUCUUCUCUUUUGAACAGUUCUGUGAAACCACAUGUGUUUGAGUUUGUAAAUA